rnacentral:sRNA from 1 species
ACUGCCCAUUGGACCCUCGCCGCCCUUUUCCGCUUUCCGGCGAGUUGCCUUUUUGCUGUGUUUGUUUUCUGUUUGCAUUUUUUUGUUUGUUUCGAGCUCUGCAGCAACUCAACUGUCGACUGUUUGCUUUGCGUUGCUUUAACGCUAUUUUCGCUCAGUUUUGUUUUGUUUGGUUUUGUUGAGCACUUUUGUACAGUGUGUUGUUGCUGGCUGACCCUCCAACACCAGUUGCCCCGCCCAUCCGCCCAACAGUCGUUGAUUUUCCCCAUUUUUUGUCGUCUUUUUUUUGGGCCGAAAAUUUAUGCUAACAGCUCUCCAUUGAAAAUGCAUAAAUUUAUGUGUUUACACUAUGUGCAGGCAUUUGCUUUGCGGGUGCGGAUGUGCAAAGAGCGGGGAUGCCGGGCACAUGUGUUUACUUAGCACUUUUUAUGGCCUGGCCAAGCCGGAAACCCUGGCCAGCCCGCAGUCCAUGUUUUAUUUACCUACAGUUUGUUUUAUUUAGCCCGAACUGUUUUUAUUUUCGGCUAAGCUCUCUUUGGCCCCGGGAAAACUAUGCGAAAUUUUAUAAAUUAUUAUUUGCAUAAAUUGCCGUAUUUGCCAGCGCAAAUGAGACCAGAGUCACACAGAAGUUCGCACGCACAGCUCAUAAAACUUAGCUCAAGACUAAACGCUUUUGCCCGCCGAUCGGCGAUGGGAGGUCCGUUCAAAAAUUCCAUCAACGCCCCAAAUGACUUUAUGCAAAAGUUUGGCCCGGGCAUAAAAAACAAAGGCACCGAAAGCCGAGGAACUGGAAUGCCAAACGAGCAAAACAAUGCGGACAUGACGGUAAAGGGUUAAGGAAAAGGACUCACACGUUUGCGGUACACAGAACCGAUGGCUUACUUUGUAUGUUUCAUGAAUGCAAAUUAACUGUGUACUGUACAUUUAUGUUCUGUGUAUGCUGGGAUCCACUUGGCCGACUGAAGGAGGAACUGUGGCCAAUGCAUUAAAUCGUGCCAAACUCAGAGCAACUGAAAAGUGUGAGGACAAAGUCUGGGCCGGGCACAUAAAUGCGAAAUAAAAACCAUUUGAAUGGCAGGCGACACUCAAAAUCGAUACGAACCGAACGACAGGAUGGUCCUGACUUCGAAGGAUAUAUGUGGAUGGGAGCCUUUGGACGCUGGGCAUUGCAAAAGUACGAAAAUGUAAAUGGGCCUUGGUUCUGGAGCCCAAGUGCUUCUGUGUGUUUAUAUGGUAUAUGGGGCUGCAGCAGUAAAAUAGAUGGGCAUUUAAGAUGAGCCAACUUCCCGUUCGGCCCUCCGAUUCUCAGUCUCUUAAUCCACACUUGCGGUCAUCAGAUCAGUUGGCCAAUUCAUUGCAAAGUCAUUUGAAAAACGUUUUCCUUUUAUUUCCCUUGGGCUGUACGUUUUGUUUAGUUACGAGCUUAGAGGUCUUUAAAAAUGUUCUCGAGUUUGAAAUGCCAUCUUGCCAUCUUAGCAGAUGGGAGACUAGAACGUUUUGUACUUCCGUUGUAAAGUUUAUGCCAAAUUUAACUUUAAAUAUUUUUUAAAUUUGUUAAAAUAUCUUUGAAGUAAGUUGUUACUUCUUUUUCCGGUGCUGUGCCACUCGUUGCUGAAACGGUUCACGUCCUUGGCGCCGGGUAAUGGAGGAGCUCAGUCGAGUGGUCGCCUCCUUUUUGGCGUUAAUGAAAAAUGCAUGAAAUUUAAAUUGCGCCAAAGUGUUGACCAGUGGCUGGACCCACACCUUUGCCUCCACUGAAAUCCGCUUUGCUCGGAUGCGAUGUGGGCAUGAGCAAUUUGUUACACCGUGCAACAAGCGAAUGGUCCGCAGACACUUUUAUUACGCGGCGCCAACAAAACAAGCGGCUGGAGGAAGGUGGCAAAAUCGACAGACAAAAAGCGACAAAUGCGAUGACAAACAAUACGAACAACAACAAUGACGCCGCUGUCAAUUGUCUGAAUUUUGAAAACCGAAAGCAAGAAAAUAAAGCGAACGAAACGAAAACACUGAGAAUCAGAGACUGUGGAAAAACUGAACCUCAUUUUCUAUGCCACUGCCGCUGCCAAAUGUCAAAUGUCGAAUUGAGCAAUGAAAUGUGAACUUUUCAUUUGCCGCCACCAACAGGAAACAAAACGGAGCACAAAAGAAAUUGCAGUGUAAAAAAUGGACAGUCAAAAAUGUUACCAAUCAAAUGAAAUGUAAUCAAACGGAAUGAACAGGACAGCGGGGAGACAUCAAAUCAAGCAACGAUUUUUAUGUUUCACUCCAUGACAAGUGUGCUAUUUUUAGGACAAAGAUACACAUUAAUGAUUUCACGUACAGACAUUUGAAUAUUCCACUAAUUUUACCAAAUAGAUGCUAAAUAAAACAAUUCGGUUUCGCAUUUUGUACGUACUCAUUGAAAA